rnacentral:tRNA from 1 species
AAUUUUUUAUUUUAAUUAGAAUUCUUUUUUUUCAAGGAAGAGGUUAAAAAAUUA